rnacentral:rRNA from 1 species
UACGAAGGGGGCUAGCGUUGCUCGGAAUCACUGGGCGUAAAGGGUGCGUAGGCGGGUUUUUAAGUUCAGGGGUGAAAUCCUGGAGCUCAACUCCAGAACCUGCCUUUGAUACUGAAGAUCUUGAGUCCGGGAGAGGUGAGUGGAACUGGCGAGUGUAGAGGUGAAAUUCGUAGAUAUUGCAAGAACACCAGUGGCGAAGGCGGCUCACUGGCCCGGUACUGACGCUGAGGUGCGAAAGCGUGGGGAGCAAACAGGG